rnacentral:lncRNA from 1 species
CACAAACUGUCAAGGAGUUUGUGAAUGUUUGUCAAGGACCUCAGGUGACUGGAUGUAGGAAGGUAGAUACACGUAGACAGAUACAGAUGGGUAGGUAGGUAAGACUGUAAUAAGCACAAAGUAAGUGAAUGUGACCAUAUGCUUUAGGAGUUCAGAGGAAGGAAGACACAUGUAGGCAGAAAAUUCCCCCAAGAGGCAGAGUUGUUAGGAUAGAACAGUAGUAGCUAAAAUGCAGAAGUCAGAAAAUGGGAGUGUUGCCAGAAAAAAGGUGUGAAAAGCAGGUGAGAGUGGGAGAUAGGGUCAAGGUCUGGUAGUGGGGGUCAUGGAGCUGAGUACAGGAAGCUAUCAGUGGUCGAAAUGGAUGCUAGAUGGAUGAAAGAAGAAAUAAAAUGAAGCACUCCACUCCUUGAAGCCAUUUUUAACUGAACAGUAAUACCUCCACCAAAAAAAAAAAAAAAAACAGCAUUAUCAGAAACAUCAACUAUCAGCCAUAAAAUUAAUGGGGGCUGAAAUGCAUUCUAGGGGGCUUCAUUAGAGGGUCAAGGAGCCAGAAUAAGUCCCAUCUAUGCCACUACUUAUGAAAAUAUAAACUUAGCUAUUCUUGCCUCUG